AUUGAACGCUGGCGGCAGGCCUAACACAUGCAAGUCGAGCGAGCGGCGGACGGGUGAGUAAGGUAUGGGGAGCUGCCCGAUAGAGGGAGGUAAAUACUGGAAACGGUAGCUAAUAACGCAUACUCUCGGAUGAACCCAUAUGGGAUUAGCUAGUUGGUGGGGUAAGGGCUCACCAAGGCGACGAUCCAUAGCUGGGCUGAGAGGAUGAUCAGCCACACUGGGACGGAGAAACGGCCCAGACUCGUACGGGAGGCAGAAUUUGGGGAUAUUGCACAAUGGGCGAAAGCGUGAUGCAGCGACGCCGCGUGGGGGAUGAAGGCUUUCGGGUUGUAACCCUCUUUCGCUAUCGAACGGGUAGGUGGAGAAGAAGCGCCGGCUAACUACGUGCCAGCAGCCGCGGUAAUAC
rnacentral:rRNA from 1 species